rnacentral:rRNA from 1 species
AUACGGAGGAUGCGAGCGUUAUCCGGAUUUAUUGGGUUUAAAGGGUGCGUAGGCUGUGCGUUAAGUCAGGGGUGAAAUGCCGUCGCUCAACGACGGAGCUGCCCUUGAUACUGGCGUGCUGGAGUACGGAUGCCGUUGGAGGAAUGAGUGGUGUAGCGGUGAAAUGCUUAGAUAUCACUCAGAACACCGAUUGCGAAGGCAUCUGACGAAUCCGUCACUGACGCUGAGGCACGAAAGCGUGGGGAUAGAACAGGAUUAGAUACCCUGGUAUUCCACGCCGUAAACGGUGAUGACUAACCGUCGGCGAUAGACAGCCGGUGGCCAAGCGAAAGCGAUAAGUCAUCCACCUGGGGAGUACGUCGGCAACGAUGAAACUCAAAGGAAUUGACGGGG